GGUCCUGUGGCCCAAUGGAUAAGUCGCCUGACUACGAAUCAGGAGAUUCUAGGUUCGAGUCCUGGCAGGAUCG
rnacentral:tRNA from 1 species